rnacentral:tRNA from 1 species
AGGGAUAUAGCUCAGUGGCACAGCACCUGCCUGGCAGGUGUGAGGCCCUAAGUUCAAUUCUUAGUACCUCCC